AGCGUCUGGAAAGGCGCGCGAUACAGGGUGACAGCCCCGUACACAAAAAUGCACAUGCUGUGAGCUCGAUGAGUAGGGCGGGACACGUGGUAUCCUGUCUGAAUAUGGGGGGACCAUCCUCCAAGGCUAAAUACUCCUGACUGACCGAUAGUGAACCAGUACCGUGAGGGAAAGGCGAAAAGAACCCCGGCGAGGGGAGUGAAAAAGAACCUGAAACCGUGUACGUACAAGCAGUGGGAGCACGCUUAGGCGUGUGACUGCGUACCUUUUGUAUAAUGGGUCAGCGACUUAUAUUCUGUAGCAAGGUUAACCGAAUAGGGGAGCCGAAGGGAAACCGAGUCUUAACUGGGCGUUAAGUUGCAGGGUAUAGACCCGAAACCCGGUGAUCUAGCCAUGGGCAGGUUGAAGGUUGGGUAACACUAACUGGAGGACCGAACCGACUAAUGUUGAAAAAUUAGCGGAUGACUUGUGGCUGGGGGUGAAAGGCCAAUCAAACCGGGAGAUAGCUGGUUCUCCCCGAAAGCUAUUUAGGUAGCGCCUCGUGAAUUCAUCUCCGGGGGUAGAGCACUGUUUCGGCAAGGGGGUCAUCCCGACUUACCAACCCGAUGCAAACUGCGAAUACCGGAGAAUGUUAUCACGGGAGACACACGGCGGGUGCUAACGUCCGUCGUGAAGAGGGAAACAACCCAGACCGCCAGCUAAGGUCCCAAAGUCAUGGUUAAGUGGGAAACGAUGUGGGAAGGCCCAGACAGCCAGGAUGUUGGCUUAGAAGCAGCCAUCAUUUAAAGAAAGCGUAAUAGCUCACUGGUCGAGUCGGCCUGCGCGGAAGAUGUAACGGGGCUAAACCAUG
rnacentral:rRNA from 1 species